rnacentral:rRNA from 1 species
CAAUAGCGUAUAUUUAAGUUGUUGCAGUUAAAAGGCUCGUAGUUGGAUUUCGGGUGGGACGCAGCGGUCUCGCAUUGCGUUUGUACUGCUGCAGCCCUCCUUCUUGCCGGGGGCGGCCUCUCGGACUUCACUGUCUGGGGGUCAGAAUCGGCGAUGUUACUUUGAGUAAAUUAGAGUGUUCAAAGCAAGCUUACGCUCUGAAUAUAAUAGCAUGGGAUAACACGACAGGACUCUGGCCUAUCGUGUUGGUCUAUAGGACCAGAGUAAUGAUUAAGAGGGACAGUCGGGGGCAUUCGUAUUCCGUUGUCAGAGGUGAAAUUCUUGGAUUUACGGAAGACGAACAUCUGCGAAAGCAUUUGCCAAGGAUGUUUUCAUUGA